CACCCCGCCACUCCUGAGCACCGCACACCGGCUUCCUCCCAGUCCCUCAUCUGAGAACUCAUGAAGCCACUUGGAAUCCCUCUCUGCUUUGCCUGGCUCAUUCCAUGUCAAUUUCAGAUCUUCACUUCAGGCUCCGGUAGAUUGCAAAUGACCUGCUUUCUUUCUGUUCCCGGGCUGCGUUCGGACCCCUGUCGGAGAGUAAAUCCGAAAAAAACAAACAAAGACAUGGAUUUACUGUGCAUAUUAGCAGAUCCAUACUGGAAAAUGCAUGGAGGUUUCAUAUACACCACUUACAGGUUUCCAAAGCCACAAUUUCCUUCAUAUGUUCAAACUCUUCAGGAUGCAGAAAGGCAGUGAACUCCUCCGGAGUAGCUGUCAGGUCACCAUUGAGGUCUGCAGCUUUGAAUCUUCUCUCAUCACGUGGCAGCAUCUUUUUAAAGGUGUGAUGAUCUGAAGAAUCAUGAAACUCUGCGGGGUUUCCUAGGUAUAGUAACCAUAGGUGGCUUGUUUGUAUUCUUCCCAGGAAAUGUUAUCAUCCUUGUCCCUAUCAUAAUCCUUCCAGACUUUGGCGACAUUAUCAAAGAUGUAUCUUUUCUGCACCCGUUUGAUCCAGGUUUUCAGCUCCUCAGUAGUGACAAAGCCAUACCCAUCAUUGUCGAUUCGAUCAACAAUCUUCCCUAGCCUCUCCUUGCUCUCGUCCGGGGUGAGCUCGUCGAAGUUCUUGGAGUCCUCCUUGCCCAGGAAGGCCUCGUGGUCGUACUGGAAGCUCUGGUUGUCCUCAGGGGGCCGCUCGCCCAGCUCCGAGUCGGGCCGCACCACGCGCUCUUUGCGCACCGUGGGCUUGGCCCGCAGAACCCGCGGCGCCAGCACCAGCGCCAGCAGCAGCCCCAGGGCUAACCCCAGGCGGCCACCGCGCGCCAUCGUCCCGAGGAGAGGGCGGCCGGGAGGGAGACGCUGAGCGAGCGACAACAGCGGCAGCUCGGGAAUGGGGGCUCGGAGCGCGGCGGCCAAGUUUUAUGUUAUGUAUAUUUUACAAGUAAAAAAAUUUUUUCACCUCAGCCUGAACUGAACACUAGCUGACAGACGUUUUGAUUUCUUUGACCAUCACGGAAUCGUGGCCAAGCGCGGUGGCUCACAUCUGUAAUCCCAACACUUUGGGAGGUCAAGAUGGGCGGAUUGCUUGAAUCCAGGUGUUUGAGAUCAGCCUGGGCAACAUG
rnacentral:lncRNA from 1 species